rnacentral:tmRNA from 1 species
UACCUUUAAUUCAUGGGUUUAAGUCCCUAUAUUAGUCCUGUCGGGAAACCGACUAUGGCGAUAAACGAAUUUCGUAAUAAACCAUUCGGACCCGGGGGCGGUACCCGGCGCCUCCACCAAAAGCCUAAGACCUGACAUUCAGGGAACUUAGGUUUUUCAUGGGGGCGAAAUAGGAUCGACGAGGGUGUAAAGGAUCUUCUUUUGCUCGGCAUGGUUCCGCCGUUAUCGGGCCGUUUGAUAGUUGCAAAUGACAACUACGCUGAGGCACGUCUAGCUGCGUAAGCGGUUCGACUGUUUCGAACUUAGUCCUGUAAGUUAGCGCUUGCAGGCGGGGUUCGGAGGCAACUGGCAAGCAGAAAA